CAGCACAAGACGUCAUUUAGACGUUGUUUUUUGGGCUAAAUCACGUCGGCCCGUCAUGACCUUCAUUUAGUCCAAAAAAAGACGUUGAAAACUGGUCUUUGUUUGGUCCGUCUAAUUCAGUCCAAAUUUAGCCUAAAAUUAGACGUCUUUUUCGGACCACUUUUCAACGUGUCUCCAUUCAAUAAUAAUCCUGACAAAAUAUGCAUGAAUGUAUAAAUACUGAGCACAUUGAACGAUAAUGAAACAUAUGCUUUGUUUAACCUAUUAAUAUUUCUGUUUAUUUUAAUUAAAUAAAUAUCUUAAAUGUGCUCUAAACAGGUCAUUUCGGUCCUGUACAGCACUGAUAGAAGCACUUCAUUUUCAUCUUUUAACAAAUAUCUUUAUUUUCUUUUAAUAUGAUAUUAUUGGCAGAGGCGCGCGUCCGUCUCAUGCUUUGUGAUCACGUGAUUAUUCAACGGGGAGACGCGCGUUCUGGAUUUACAGUUUCUCCUCAGACAAGUGUUUCUGUUUUGUGGUCGAUUCUGGGAUCCUUUUCUUGGUGUGUCUUGAUGUUUUCUAUUGGCUAAAGAUGCAAAUAAGGAGACUUACACAUGUCUCUGUGAAACUGACAAUCUCAGGUAGGAGCUGCUGGUUUGUGGUUGGCAGUAUGGAUCACGGUCUGCGACUCAUGAGGAGCUGGUCUGGAGACAUGAAGAGGUUGUCAACAGAGGUCUGAAGCUAAUACCUGCCAUGGUCUGAUUGGUAUUUCAUGAGGAAUCAUGGGUUCCUUGGUAUUUGAAUUAUGUUGAACCAGGCAAGUACUCCAUCUUUCGAUCAUGUGUUCUGUCUGCUUACACAUUCCUAGCCAGAAUAACAUUUCGUGCUCUUAGCUUAGACUUCUCAGCGUGUGCGCAUAUCUCAGGUCAGAUAUGACUAUUUUCUAAUCUUCACUGGUCAAUGAAAGUUUGUCUUAAAAGUCAAUAAUGUAUGUGGGAAAUUGUCUCCUCUUUGCAGGCCAUCCAUCCAAGAUCAUCUAUCUGAGCUGCUGAAAACUGCCUCGGUACGGAUCUGUUGGAGCUUUGUGUCACUGACUGAAUUUCUGCAAAUUCCUGUUCCGUGUCAUAUUGCUUAUGCAAGACUGAAUCCAUAAAGUUGAUGGUCUGUGGAGACUGUGGGGGAUUCCUUCUGCUGUCAUUUAAACAUGAGCAGGAGUAAUGACGGGUUUAAAUGGACGCAACUAAUAUUAUGUCAGAGUCCGCUGCUUAUGCUGUAACCAUAAAGCAACCAGGACAACACACCUGGAGUGACCGAGAGCAGGAUGAUGGAGGAAUCGGAUGAGAAAAUGUCAACUGGUGCCCAUGAGGAGACAUAUUGUUCUUGGACCUGCUUUUUAUGUUUAGUAAUAAGUGGUUUUAUGUGGUUAAAAAAAAGUAAUUUAAUAUUAAUAUUUAAUAUUUUAAUAUUCACUCCAAAAUGGUCUAGUAUUGUCACUUAACUUAUGCUGCUUGACUUCUCAGCAUAAAGAUCAUUAUUAAAUUAAUAUUAAAUAUUUCAAAUUUAGAAAUAGGCUACCCCAUGCCAUCUAAUAAAGAAGUGGGUACUCCGUGCGUGUCGUGUACCCAGCACUACACCAUAUGGCAUCAUUGAUGUCUGUUGUAAGUAGAUAUAUAACUGUUAUUAAAUAAUUAUAUUGUAUUUCUUUCUAUUUAAGUCCAAGUUCAAAAUAAAACUCUAUAAACCUCUCCAUUGUGAAAUGGUUUAUAUACAUUCACGGUUUAUAGAGUUUUAUUUUGAACUUGGACAUAAAUACGAAAAAAUAUAAUAUAAUUAUUUAAUAAAAAGUUAUAUAUCUACUAACAGCGGACAUCAAUGAUGCCAUAUGGCCCGGCAUUGAAUUGACCCCUCAGAUCUGAUUUGUGCAUUUUUGUAUUCAUGGUUAAAAUGUUCAACUUUUUGAUUGUAAUAAUAAUUUAACCUUAUCCCCAUAUGGGAUUUAAAAUGUUCAGUGACAUUACUGUCAGAUUCAAACGUCUUUCGCGCUGAGCCAGACGGACGAGCUCAGCGCUGUCAUAUAGCAACAUGCAGUGUUUUCAACCUCAUAAUGUUUAUUUUAGAUUUCAGACAUUUAAAUACACAUAAGCACUGGUAAAACAA